rnacentral:rRNA from 1 species
UGCGUAGGCGGACUAAUAAGUCAGUGGUGAAAUCUCUCGGCUCAACCGGGAAACUGCCAUUGAUACUGUUAGUCUUGAGUUCGGUUGAGGUAGGCGGAAUGUGUAAUGUAGCGGUGAAAUGCUUAGAUAUUACACAGAACACCAAUUGCGUAGGCAGCUUACUAGACCGACACUGACGCCGAGGCACGAAAGCGUGGGUAGCGAACAGGAUUAGAUACCCUGGUAGUCC